rnacentral:rRNA from 1 species
UAGGGAAUAUUGGGCAAUGGAGGCAACUCUGACCCAGCCAUGCCGCGUGAAGGAAGACAGUCUUAUGGAUUGUAAACUUCUUUUAUCAUAGAGUAACCACAGGGACGCGUUCCCUGUCUGCAAGUAUAUGAUGAAUAAGCAUCGGCUAACUCCGUGCCAGCAGCCGCGGUAAUACGGAGGAUGCAAGCGUUAUCCGGAUUUAUUGGGUUUAAAGGGUGCGCAGGCGGUCUGGUAAGUCGAUGGGUGAAAUUUUACAGCUUAACUGUAAGCGUGCCUAUGAUACUGCUGGGCUAGAGUUUAAGAGACGUAAUUGGAAUGUGAUGGGUAGCGGUGAAAUGCUUAGAUAUGUCACAGAACGCCGAUCGUGAAGACAGAUUACGAACUUAAUACAGACGCUCAA